GAUGAAGAACGUAGCGAAAUGCGAUAAGUAAUGUGAAUUGCAGAAUUCAGUGAAUCAUCGAAUCUUUGAACGCACAUUGCGCCCGUCAGUAUUCUGGCGGGCAUGCCUGUUCGAGCGUCAUUACGCCCCUCAAGUCCCCUGUGGACUUGGUGUUGGGGAUCGGCGAGGCUGGUUUUCCAGCACAGCCGUCCCUUAAAUUAAUUGGCGGUCUCGCCGUGGCCCUCCUCUGCGCAGUAGUAAAACACUCGCAACAGGAGCCCGGCGCGGUCCACUGCCGUAAAACCCCCCAACUUUUUAUAGUUGACCUCGAAUCAGGUAGGACUACCCGCUGAACUAAAGCAUAUCAAUAAGCGGAGGA
rnacentral:misc_RNA from 1 species